rnacentral:rRNA from 1 species
UCUUCCCUCUGGCGGCGUGCCUAAUACAUGCAAGUAGAACGCUGAAGGAGGAGCUUGCUCUUCUGGAUGAGUUGCGAACGGGUGAGUAACGCGUAGGUAACCUGCCUGGUAGCGGGGGAUAACUAUUGGAAACGAUAGCUAAUACCGCAUGACAACAGUUAUUGCAUGAUAACUGUUUAAAAGGGGCAACUGCUCCACUACCAGAUGGACCUGCGUUGUAUUAGCUAGUUGGUGAGGUAACGGCUCACCAAGGCGACGAUACAUAGCCGACCUGAGAGGGUGAUCGGCCACACUGGGACUGAGACACGGCCCAGACUCCUACGGGAGGCAGCAGUAGGGAAUCUUCGGCAAUGGACGGAAGUCUGACCGAGCAACGCCGCGUGAGUGAAGAAGGUUUUCGGAUCGUAAAGCUCUGUUGUAAGAGAAGAACGAGUGUGAGAGUGGAAAGUUCACACUGUGACGGUAGCUUACCAGAAAGGGACGGCUAACUACGUG